rnacentral:rRNA from 1 species
UACGUAGGGUGCGAGCGUUGUCCGGAAUUAUUGGGCGUAAAGAGCUCGUAGGCGGUGUGUCACGUCGGCCGUGAAAACUUGCAGCUUAACUGUGGGCGUGCGGUCGAUACGGGCAUCACUGGAGUUCGGCAGGGGAGACUGGAAUUCCUGGUGUAGCGGUGAAAUGCGCAGAUAUCAGGAGGAACACCGGUGGCGAAGGCGGGUCUCUGGGCCGAUACUGACGCUGAGACGCGAAAGCGUGGGGAGCGAACAGG